GAUGAAGAACGUAGCGAAAUGCGAUAAGUAGUGUGAAUUGCAGAAUUCAGUGAAUCAUCGAAUCUUUGAACGCACAUUGCGCCCCUUGGUAUUCCAUGGGGCAGGCCUGUUCGAGCGUCAUUUGUACCUUCAAGCUUUGCUUGGUGUUGGGUGUUUGUCUCGCCUUUGCGUGUAGACUCGCCUUAAAAUAAUUGGCAGCCGGCGUAUUGAUUUCGGAGCGCAGUACAUCUCGCGCUUUGCACUCAUAACGACAGCGUCCAAAAGUACAUUUUACACUCUUGACCUCGGAUCAGGUAGGGAUACCCGCUGAACUUAAGCAUAUCAAUAAGCGGAGGA
rnacentral:misc_RNA from 1 species